GAGAGAGAGACAGACAGUCAGUGAGUGUGUCUGUGUCCAACUCUUCCUCACAGGUUAGUUAAUGACAGACAGUCAGUGAGUGUGUCUGUGUCCAACUCUUCCUCACAGGUUAGUUAAUGACAGACAGUCAGUGAGUGUGUGUGUGUCCAACUCUUCCUCACAGGUUAGUUAAUGACAGACAGUCAGUGAGUGUGUCUGUGUCCAACUCUUCCUCACAGGUUAGUUAAUGACAGACAGUCAGUGAGUGUGUCUGUGUCCAACUCUUCCUCACAGGUUAGUUAAUGAUGUUACUGAGUCAAUGUGAGCAGAUUGUGUCUGUAGACUGAAGAGAAUCAGAGUCUCACUGAUGGUGGAAAUAAAGGUUUUACUUCCUUAAAACA